rnacentral:rRNA from 1 species
GACGAACGCUGGCGGCGUGCUUAACACAUGCAAGUCGAACGGAAAGGCCCUGCUUUUGUGGGGUGCUCGAGUGGCGAACGGGUGAGUAACACGUGAGUAACCUGCCCUUGACUUUGUGAUAACUUCAGGAAACUGGGGCUAAUACCGGAUAGGAGCUCCUGCUGCAUGUGGGGGGUUGGAAAGUUUCGGCGGUUGGGGAUGGACUCGCGGGUUAUCAGCUUGUUGGUGGGGUAGUGGCUGACCAAGGCUUUGACGGGUAGCCGGCCUGAGAGGGUGACCGGCCACCUUGGGACUGAGAUACGGCCCAGACUCCUACGGGAGGCAGCAGUGGGGAAUAUUGCACAAUGGGCGGAAGCCUGAUGCAGCAACGCCGCGUGCGGGAUGCCGGCCUUCGGGUUGUAAACAGCUUUCGCCUGUGACGAAGAGUGAGUGACGGUAAUGGGUAAAGAAGCACCGGCUAACUACGUG